UACGUAGGGGGCUAGCGUUGUCCGGAAUCAUUGGGCGUAAAGAGCGUGUAGGCGGCUCGGUAAGUCCGCUGUGAAAGUCCAGGGCUCAACCCUGGAAUGCCAGUGGAAACUGUUGAGCUAGAGUCCGGAAGAGGCGAGUGGAAUUCCUGGUGUAGCGGUGAAAUGCGCAGAUAUCAGGAGGAACACCAAUGGCGAAGGCAGCUCGCUGGGACGGUACUGACGCUGAGACGCGAAAGCGUGGGGAGCAAACGGG
rnacentral:rRNA from 1 species